GGUUGGUAAGAAGUGAAACCAACUCUGUUACACGUUUCCUGCUGUAUUCUGAAUUCUUGCACAAGGACAGAAGUGUUUGGCUGAGAAGAGAACAAAUUCAUGUUUCCCAUGUGCACAUACUUACCAUAUAAAGCAGAUUGUCUUCCCUGGAAAUGAAGGAUGAAACGUCUCUCCACAUAAAUUACUGGGAGGUUUUCUUUAAACUUCAAUGAAGCAAUCUAAAGAUAUUAAGAGAUGAAGAAAAUUAGCAUAAUCAGCUCAUGCUUCUUAAUCCCCCUAGUCCAACCCAGAAAUAUUCCCUGUAUGUUAUUGGUUAACACUUUUGUCCAGGCCAGGUUUUUAUGACCUGUAGUUUCCCUGUUCCUCUGACUGUCCUUGUCAGCUCACUAUUUGCAUCUUGGACUUUAAAGAAAGAUGCACCACACACAAUACAUACUUUAAAAGUAUACUGAGUAUAAUGGAGAAAGAAGAGUGGAGUGCAGUAUGGGAGCUACAAAAGAAAAUGCUUUCAAAGCUUUUAUUUUAUGAAGACAUUAAAUACAUGUCUUUUUGAUUCCUUCCUGUCAAAAAGCUGCUCAGAUCUGGUAGUGACUGGAGCUGACAGCCAGGAUGGAGGCCACUGGUGGAAGAGCACAACAGGACGGCUUGGAGCAGUGAUUAAUCUGAACACGAGGGAAUUUCCUGAAAGAUAAAAUGUUUCCAUCAGCACAAGCACUGAAGGCUCAGAACUACCACUGCAGCUGUACAGCACAAAGCGUGGCUGAGGUCAGAUAAACUGCUGUGAUCGCAGCAUUUGCUCUUCCAUGUGCUUCAUGCAAUAUAUCAGAACCAUUUCUACUUCUCUCUCUCAAUCAGAGACACCAAAGUUCUUUGGAACUUUUGUCUGGCCUUUGAAAAAAAAUGCAGCUGCCCUGACUGUCGGGCUAUUCCAGAGUCCUGUUUUAGGAAAGGCACUGUUCUCUGUGAACAAAUGGAUAUGGAGCAAUCAAGAAGUAAUGGCCAAGAACACCAUCAGAACAGAG
rnacentral:lncRNA from 1 species